UAGGUAGUUAUCAAACAUUCUUUAUUUGAUUAAGCCUAAGUCAAAUACACCAACUUGCUUAUCCAAAUAUUGCCAAAAUAAGAAAAACAAAACAUCAAGACAGCUUUUAUUUUUUUAAUUUUAUAAAACAACAAGCGCUUGUGCCGAAAUAUUUAGUCGAUCGAGGUUUUGAUACGAGUGAAUUUCCAACAGAAUUGAAUAUCUACAAAAAUGAAAUUGAUAAUUUUUGUUGCGUUAGCACUUGUGUUUACAUUGAUUGAUGUUUCAAAAUGCAACAUACUCGUAACAACCCAGAAGCCAUGUGAUCUUAAGUGUCCUGAUCUCUACCAACCUUUGUGUGCAUUUAAUAAAAAAGCUUAUUACAAAUUCAUAAAUAAUUGCUACCUAUCAAUUGCCAAUUGUAAAAAUCCCGAUAUAUACACAGUGGUCAGUCUUGAAUUGUGUGAUAAAUAUGAAAGAGAAAAAAAGAAAAGUGGAUUCUUGAAAAAAUACUAAACUAUUUAUUUUAAUUUUAAUUAACGAUCAGAUAUUUUGGUCUAAAUAAAACAAAAUAAGUUGUGGA